rnacentral:rRNA from 1 species
CCUACGGGUGGCAGCAGUAGGGAAUAUUGCUCAAUGGGGGAAACCCUGAAGCAGCAACGCCGCGUGGAGGAUGAAGGUUUUAGGAUUGUAAACUCCUUUUGUUAGAGAAGAUAAUGACGGUAUCUAAAGAAUAAGCACCGGCUAACUCCGUGCCAGCCGCCGCGGUACUACGGAGGGUGCAAGCGUUACUCGGAAUCACUGGGCGUAAAGAGCGCGUAGGCGGGAUAGCAAGUCAGAUGUGAAAUCCUAUGGCUUGACCAUAGAACUGCAUUUGAAACUGUUAUUCUAGAGUAUGGGAGAGGUAGGUGGAAUUCUUGGUGUAGGGGUAAAAUCCGUAGAGAUCAAGAGGAAUACUCAUUGCGAAGGCGACCUGCUAGAACAUAACUGACGCUGAUGCGCGAAAGCGUGGGGAGCAAACAGGAUUAGAUACCCGAGUAGUC